rnacentral:rRNA from 1 species
CCAGACUCCUACGGGAGGCAGCAGUGAGGAAUAUUGGUCAAUGGUCGGGAGACUGAACCAGCCAAGCCGCGUGAGGGAGGAAGGUACAGAGUAUCGUAAACCUCUUUUGUCAGGGAACAAAGGCGGGGACGUGUCCCCGGAUGAGUGUACCUGAAGAAAAAGCAUCGGCUAACUCCGUGCCAGCAGCCGCGGUAAUACGGAGGAUGCGAGCGUUAUCCGGAUUUAUUGGGUUUAAAGGGUGCGCAGGCGGCCCGGCAAGCCGGGGGUAAAAUCGCGGGGCUCAACCCCGCCCAGCCGUCGGAACUGCCGGGCUAGAGUGGGCGAGAAGUGCGCGGAAUGCGUGGUGUAGCGGUGAAAUGCAUAGAUAUCGCGCAGAACCCCGAUUGCGAAGGCAGCGUGCCGUGCCGCCACUGACGCUGAGGCACGAAAGCGCGGGGAUCGAACAGGAUUAGAUACCCCUGUA